CGGAUCCCACGGGGCAGGAGCUCUCCAGAGGAGACUAAGGCAGGCCAAGGCAGACCGUGGGGGUUUGGCCAUUGGAAUGGUCACGGUAGAUCCAUGUCAAGAACGGUGCUUCUUCCGCAUGUUUUAGUCCAUUAAAACAAGGGAUGUUUUUCUCAGGACUCCCCAGUUUUGAAGCAGGUUUGAAGUUGCAGAGGGAAGACCAUAGUGUGGUAGGGCAGGAUUGUGUCUUCUCUUGGUUAAUAGUGCUGAGCUUAUGCAACGGAGCAAGCCAGCACCUGCUUGAGAGCGGACGUGGGAGCCUUGGAAGGGACUGGCUCCAAAUCUGGCCAUGGUGGGGAUGAUGACAAAACUAGUGCUCCACCCAGUGCUCCAUGAAGUAGGCAGGUGCACAAGGUAGGUCAGUUACCUGCAAGGAGUCCUUGCAUAUGGCAGCAGUGAGCUGAUGGCCUGAAGUAGUGUCCAUCUUCUCUGUUUGGGCUGAAUUUUAUCUGAUGACCUUGUCUGAUUGGCAGGUUUCUCCAGUCCUGUUCCCCAGGUAGUGCCCCUCUACUUAGCCAGGGCUAGUCCUGCUCCAAUACCUGCUGGAAGGAGCAGAAAUGCAAAUAAUGGUCAUAUGGAUGAGAUACUCUUUCAGCAGUGCUUUAGCUCACGAGCACGACCUUUUCUGGCAUCUCCAGAAUUUGCCUCCUGAUUUCCUGCAGUGAUCAUCUCGGGCAUUGACACUCCACACUGGAGGUGGCAGUUUCAGUCUUCGGAGCCCUGCUGAAGGAUAUGCUGUCACUAGCACGUGUUCACUGCAGGCCUGCACCAUCAAGGGCUGCCUGAUGUGUUCCCCAUCAUAUAUGGCUCUGCAGCAGGUCUUACGUGGCAAGGAGCAAAAAACUUGGACAUCUGAGAAACUCCAGAGAAGGUGGUCCAUCCAAUUGUAAGUGAUCAACAGAACAAAGCCCAGAUGUCUUUGGCAGUGACAGGCCACAGGCAGCCACUGCAUGGCAGUUCUGCUGGAAACAGUCAGGAGUCUCAGAAGUCACAAAAUUAGGUCACAUUUUCAACUGGGAUACUGAACAUAGACCUCCAGGACACAGAGAAAUGGAGCAGAUCCACAGCUUAUCUAGCCCCAUGUGACUGAUGUACAGCACAUAAAGCAUGCCAAACUAACACCUGGUCAGUCAGCAAUUCCUACCUGGUCAGCUGGAAUGAGGAGGGUAUUAUGGGAGAGAGUGUGAGGCAGAGCUGUGGAAUAGCUUCUGCAGAGCAACACUGUCCAGCUGAGCCAAGUUCAUUGGUUGAAAACUCUCUUGUCUCCAACCUGCACUGCCUCUGAAAUACUCUACCUACAUCUUGGCACAUGGGUCAGUACAGGAUAUCCUCCACCCAGAUUGCUGCAUUUUGUGUCCCUCUGCAUACACCUGUCAGCAUUUCCUCUGUGUGCGUGGGCCUGCCCUUCUCUGCUAGCCUUCCACACCUUGGGGCUCACAGACUCAGCAAGCAGCUGGCUGAAGGCAGCACUGCUUGUGCCCUUCUGAUCAGCUUGGGAGUACGAAUUCCAUGAAGAAUGAGUUAAGAAAAUUUACUGCAAGUUUAGUUUUUAAGGCCUUUGGGUUUAAAAAAAAAAUAAAAAGGAAAUAUGAAUGAUUUGGGGAAGCAACUUCCAUCCUUUAGUACAGGUUGGUGGGGUUUUUUUGGAGUCUUUCCAAAGAUGCUUGGGCUUGGGAGGAAGGGGAGUGAGAAAUGUUUUAAAAUAGAAGAGGCAGAGAAGUCAGAGGAAAACAGUGCUGAGACAUUCACUUUCUAAGAAUUCAAUCCUAGCAGUACUCUUGGCAUGGCAGUUAUGUACAUAAUUAGGGUGGUAUGAUGGUAGUGGGAAUAGAAGCUACUUACAAAGCUAAAAGUUGUACAUUAAAGCAGAUAAGUCAAGAGUGCAAGUUGUGCUCAGACAACUAUCAGGCCUAUUAGAGUCUAGAAGCUGUGCUAGGUGCUAAAUAAAUCAAGGAGAGUCACUUGACAUUUGCUAGCUGGAAAAGGAGGGUUCCCCUUCAAAGAAGGGCUUCAUAUCCACAUCCUUAUAUGCUUGAGUGAUGGCACUGUACAUCUGAGCUCUCUCUGGAAUUACUAGCACUGAAUUGCUUAGAGAGAGGACAAGGUUAUUAGCUUCAGCAGGAAAAGGAAAUUUUAUACGUAAUAUACAUGCAGAAUUGACUUGUCUGUAGCCCAAAACUUUGGAGAUUACGCAUGCAAAAUGAGAAGUUGAUCUAAUUUUGAAAUUGUUUUCAGUACCAUGGAAAGUAAUUUUACAGCAUGCUUGCCCCCUUCACCUUACACAUCAAAAUCUGCAGAGAUUGGCUCUAUUCAUUUAGGCUUAAAUGCAGGACCUGAGUCUUCUUAGAAAUGGUUACUGGUCGGGGAGAAAUAAGCUUUUCUCAAAGUGAUGUAGGUGAGUAGCUUUCUUAAGUGCAUGUUUGAGGAUGCCUCCCAGAUCAGAAGGGUGGUUCAAAUGUGGCAGACCUUUCAGACGCAGCCUUACUGAGGACUCCUCAGUUACCUACUAAAAGCUUCAAGAGCUGGAUGAAGACAGGGCAGACAGAGGCAAGGCACAGCCAGUAAUCUCAGUGCUCAGUAGUGGAGUUGUUUCUGUAGCUGGCCAGCCCAUUGAAAACAUCCCUGAGAUUAGCUCAGUUGGUUAGAGCUUUGUGCUAAAGGCACCAGGGUUGUGAGUUUGAUCCCAAUAUGGGCCAGUCACUUAAGAGUUGGACUUUAUGAUCUUUGUGGGUCCCUUCCAACUCAAGAAUAUUCUGUGAAAUUUCUGUGAAACCUCCAGAGAGGACCAUGCAGCCUUUUCCAGCAUUCCAGGUAGCUGUUUGUGUUUCAGAUAAGGGCUGAUCUCAUGAGUGAUGUGUUGCAGAGGAGAGCUGAGCAACCCCUGGGUUUUUUCUAGGAUGCACCAGACCUUGCUGUAGGGCUUGGGACCUGCUCAGCAGCUGGAGAUGAUGUCCAGGGAGCUGUAACAACCUUGCUGGUGCUUCCCAGUGGGAGGGAAGAAAAAAAGAAGUAAAAAAAAAA